CCCCCAACUUUACAAAUAUAUUGUCCUUUAAAACUUUUAACUCCAUGCCCAUUGCUAUCUUUCUUCCUCAACCCCAAUUUUUAAACGCCCAAAUUUGGAAAGCUAUUUUUUCUUUCUAUGCAGAACUUUUCUUAAUCCACAAGCUUUAGCUGCUCCAUGCGAUUCCAUCACAGAUCUGAAGGACUCGAGGCUCUGCGAAUUAGCCAAAAGCCUAAAAUUUGAACACUAAUCGGUUGCAUGAAGAAUUGUUCGUGCGUGGCUUACGCGUAUGAUGCUGGCAUUGGUUGCAUGUUAUGGAGUGGAGAUUUGAUUGAUGUCCAGAAAUUCUCUAAUCGGGGAGUCGAUCUUUACAUUCGUCUGCCAUCUUCGGAACUUGAUAAAGGGAAUAGUGAGAUAAUUGUUAUUACAACAGUAAUUUCAGGCAUGAUCGUGAUUAUAAUAAUUUUUGCACUCUUCUUAUUGCGUAGAAUGGGUCAACAAAGAGGUGUUGAGUCUUUGAAGUCUGGGUCUAUUGAUGAAAGAGGCGACAAGGAGACGCCAAAGCCAUCGUUUGGACCCCACAAGUUGAGGGAAGGUUUGCCACUUAUUCUCAUUCUGCGAAACAGACUGAAGUAUGCUUUGACAUACAUAGAAGUGAUUGCUAUUCUUAUGCAAAGGCAUGUUAUGGUAGAUAGGAAGGUUAGGACUGAUAAGACCUACCCUGCAGGUUUUAUGGGGAAGAGAAUUAACCAUUACAGAGAAAACAAAUUAUCUGGUUUUCAUGAUCAAUGCUUUUCAGUACUACAAUUAUAUAUUAUUACAUAUGGGGGUUGGAGAAUACGAUCAAAGGGAAAACAUCAGAUAUGGUGAUUCCCAGCCAAGCAGUGGCUUCUUAGACACCCAACAUUUUGCACAACCAAACAUGACCAGAACUUCUAAACCUACAUGUUGAGGAUUCACACUCAAUGAGCAAGAAACAUCUCAGCAAUUCAUUGGGAUCGAGCAGUCAAAAUUCAGAAUCAAGUGACACACAAGAGCUAGAUUUGGAGCUUAGGCAUCAUCGUAAUCGAUAAUUUUUUUGCUACUUUAAAUGCAUGCUCAUGGAACUACAUUUUAUGCUUUCCUAGAAUUGUAAGUUCAAAUAAGGUGUUGAUCUACAAUUUAUACAUACAACUUGAGCAAGUUGAUACGAA